UAUUAAAUUUUUAUUUACGUGACUGCUCUCUAUUUUUCCCUCUUCACACUUCUUUCACUCUCUUCUCACUCAGCGUCGUCCUCCAUCUCUCUUUCUCCGGCGUCUUCGCCGGUUCUCACAGCCACCGGCAUGGCGAACGCCGCUGGUGCUAUCCCUCAUUGUCUCUUCCUUAUUUCUCUGUGCUAAUUUUAAUCCUAAUUUCUUUAUAGAUCUGUAAACCCUAAUUUCCUCGACGAUUCUCAAUCUCCCUCUCGAUUCUCGUCCGUCCGGCGGAUAUCGCCGCCGUUGCCGUACUACCGCGCCUUCACACCGUUUGGACCGCUCUUCGCGCACUACGAUAUGAUCUGCAAAAAAUGGUUGUGUCUUCAUCAGGCAAACACAAAGGGACUGAAUAACUGUGUGCCUUAUAAUAUAGGUUUCUGUGACAACAAUAUUAGAGAAGUUGGGGACUACAUUUCUGAGGAGUGAAAAUUGCUUACACAGAACGUCCUAUAUGGAAUUUUUUCCUACAACCUGAUUUUCUAGUUCAGCGGGUUUAUUUGCACUGUAAAUCAUGCCUUAAUACGGAUAAUCUUGCAGGUAAGAAGGCUGAUGUGAGAACACGUGUUGAUAGAGAAGCGGAUAACCAACAACUUCUUCAGUUAGAAGAAAAGGAUGUUGUGACAUCAGUAGCCACAGUGCUGUCUGAUAUAUGUGGUCCUGGAGACUGGAUGCCGAUGGAGAAACUACACUCUGAGGUCAAUUGUUUUCUUACACUCCGAUGCAAACCUCCUUUGUUGUUAUAUUUCACUAUCAGCUAUGAUGAUUUCAUGUUGGGAUUUCUAGUGUUUCUUGUGAUUAUUCUGUUGCUUUCUCAAUGGCAUAGUUCACUACUAUGGAUAUUAACGAUUUCAGCAUGUGCGUUUUUUUCCAUAUACUAAGACGAACUUAGAAUGUGCACACACACAUGCCCCACAACCUAUUAAAGGUACAAAUUAUUGAAACUUGAGAUGGCAUUGUCUGAAUUGGUAGAUUCCAGCUACUAGGUGGACGUGAAUUCAUACGAAUGGGAUCAAGGUAACAAGUUAAUUCCAUCAGAAGGCCUCAGUUCAAGGCAUCUUGGUGCAACUUUGAUGAUGGACUUAGAUUGAUUGGGACUCAUAUUGUCAAUUGGUUAUAUUCUUUUUCGUUUCUUGCAAUCGUAUUCAUAAGCUAUCACGAGACUCAAAUCAUUUUUUGUUAUAUUCUUGGCCCAUAGGCCAGCUUGUUAGAGGAAGGGAGCUUUAUAUGGUCUAGAAAAGGCAGGGAGAACCUUCUGUAUGCCACUGAUGCUUGUUAGAAGAAGGGAGCUUUAUAUGGUCUAGAAAAGGCAGGGAGAACCUUCUGUAUGCCACUGAUGCUGCUGAGAAGUUCAGUGAAAGAUAAUUGGAAAUUAUCAGUUUCUAUUUCAUAUUAUGUUGAUAAAAGAUCUCAGUGUAGUUUUAGACUAUUCUCCAUCAGAAGGGCGAGUUACUUGGUAAUGAGAACAUUAAUAGAGUUAUAAUGUGGAAGAAAGCUAGAGUGAAAAAAGAUAAGACCGUUGAGAAUGAAGACUUAAAGAAAGCAAGGUGGAAAUGAAGACUUAAAGAAAGCAAGGUGGAAAUGAAGAUUUUAAGAAAGCAAGGUGGAAAUGAAGACUUAAAGAAAGCAAGGUGGGAGCAUUGAGAAUGAAGACUUGUAGCUUUUUGUAUGGAUGUUGGAGAUGUUGUAAAAUAAUAGAUCUUUUGUGGAUGUUGGAUGAUUGAUUAUUAUAGAUGAUUAAAUGACAUCUUCAAUAUGUAUAAAUUUAUUAUUUUUACAA